UUGAUUUCUAAUGUCGAAAUU
rnacentral:piRNA from 1 species